UACGUAGGUGGCAAGCGUUGUCCGGAUUUAUUGGGUUUAAAGGGUGCGUAGGCGGCCUUAUAAGUCAGUGGUGAAAUACGACAGCUUAACUGUCGAACUGCCAUUGAUACUGUAGGGCUUGAGUACAGACGAGGUAGGCGGAAUUGAUAGUGUAGCGGUGAAAUGCAUAGAUACUAUCAAGAACACCGAUUGCGAAGGCAGCUUACUAGGCUGUAACUGACGCUGAGGCACGAAAGCGUGGGGAUCAAACAGG
rnacentral:rRNA from 1 species